AAUCUUUCGCAAUGGGCGAAAGCCUGACGCAGCGACGCCGCGUGAGUGAAGAAGGNCUNNGGGUUNUNAAACUCUGUCCGCAGNNNNNAAGCAAGUGACGGUACCUGAGGAGGAAGCCCCGGCUAACUAUGUGCCAGCAGCCGCGGUAAUACGUAGGGGGCAAGCGUUGUCCGGAAUUAUUGGGCGUAAAGGGUGCGUAGGCGGCCUUUUAAGUCAGAUGUGAAGGCCCACGGCUUAACCGUGGGACUGCAUUUGAAACUGGAGGGCUUGAGUAUCGGAGAGGGUAGUGGAAUUCCCAGUGUAGCGGUGGAAUGCGUAGAUAUUGGGAGGAACACCAGUGGCGAAGGCGACUACCUGGACGAAAACUGACGCUGAGGCACGAAAGCUAGGGGAGCAAAC
rnacentral:rRNA from 1 species